rnacentral:rRNA from 1 species
GACGAAGGUGGCGAGCGUUGUUCGGAAUCACUGGGCAUAGAGCGCACGUAGGCGGCGACGUAAGUUGGGUGUGAAAUCCCUCGGCCCAACCGAGGAACUGCGCCCAGUACUGCGUUGCUUGAGGAUCCAAGGGGUGCAUGGAAUUCCCGGUGGAGCGGUGAAAUGCGUUGAUAUCGGGAGGAACUCCGGCGGCGAAAGCGGUGCACUGGUGGAUUUCUGACGCUGAGGUGCGAAAGCCAGGGGAGCAAACGGG